CCACCCCAGCUCCCCCGAGGCUCUGGGCAGGGCCCGUCCUCCCCCAAGCUUUUUUGUCUGCGAAGCGGCUGGGUUUGGGUUGGAAGGAGUGUGUCCUUGAGUCUGAGAGGCGGCCGGCCGUGUGGGUUGCUGAAGUCCCUAGGAAAGCCACCAUAGGAGAAGAUAAAGAGCUCAGCUUCCAGUUCUGGCCGCACCGCUGACCUGCAGCUGAGCGCCCACCCUCUCUGGGCCUCAAGCUCCUCAUCUGUGAAAUGGGGGCAGGAGCACCUGCACGUCGAAGACUGACGGGGAAGGUGGAACAAACUCUUCCACGCACAGGGUCCUGAGCACAGGAGGCCCGGGCACGGAGGCCUUCACGGAGCUCGGGGAGGCUGGUCUGGGCAGGAGACCCCAGAGGCCUGGAUUCAUGUCUUGCGUUGCCACAAACUCACGGCCAUGUCCAUUCAUGCCGUGGCUCUCCAUCCGUCUCCCAGGGAUGUUAAUACUCGUCCCACCCGCCUCCCGAGGCUGGGCUGAGGAGGAUGAGCCCUCACCCUCCUGAGACGUCUCAUCUGCUGUGUCUCUGUUUCUGCUCCACCUCGAGGGGCCACCAGGUUACAAAGCUCCCAACUUCAAGCACACGGGACCGGGCAGGAGGCAGAGCCAGUCCGAGGGCUCGGUGAAGCUUCCUUAAAGAGGAGGUGAUUUUCAAGGAAGGGAAGAGACCACCUUUGAGAAGCAGAGGGGGGCUCUCCAGAAUGAGGGAUGAAGGGGUGCGGAGAGGAAGGGGGACGGGCACAGGUGCCCCCCAGCCUGGCAAAGAGGCCCACGUCCCCCGGGGGGAGGCCCGGGGUGCCGCUGAGCGCAGGGUGCUGCGGAGCCUGCGGGACCGGGGGAAGCAUCCCUGCCGGCCUCCCGGCCCCCACCCCCCGCCCCGAGCCUCCGUGUCAGGUGCACGCCUGGGGUUGGGCAAAGGACCCCAGCCAUUGUGACAUGUGACAUCCCCCGCACUCCAGUGGGUGGGGCUCAGAACCAGGAUUAAGUUGAUUUAAGGGCAGUCAAGAAUGGGACCUUUCCUGGAUGCCUGAGCUGCGGGCUGACAUUCGUUACACACAGAUUCCGAAGUUUAAAAAGUGUGGCGUGCCAGAGGCACAGUGCACGGGAUUAUUAACCGCCUAAUGAUUCUGGUAUAAAAACCCUUGGCAGGAGGGGAAGAGGAAAGGUUCACAGGCCGGGAAGGGUUUGGGCCGGAGCCCCUGAGGCUGUGCUCCCCUUCCAGGGGCUGCCUGGACCCUGGCCUUGACCGCUACGGUGAGACCCUCUUUCGCUGCAGCCUCCUCUGCUUGACUUCCUGGGCUCCCUGACCCCUCUCUGCCCUCGAGGUCCCAGCGUGAGGACCAGGCACAGGGGGGCUGCUCCCAGGGAGCCCCUCUGCAGGGUGGGCAGCUGGGCUCAGCCUUGCUCAAGGAGGUGCAGCUUCCGGGGGGAGCGGCCACGGGGAGACCACGGUCUGCAGCACCUGGCCUCCGACCUCCGGCCUCCCUGCUCUGACCUCAGCCCCGGCUCAGAAAGGGGGGCUGCAAUCAGCUCCUUUUGGUGCAGGGGGCCUGAAGCCUGAGCCGGUGAUUUGGGAAUGAAUUCUUCCAAUCACGAAGGACUACUUCUGGGCUGGGCCAGAAAGCGAUUCUUUUUUUCUCCCCUCUUGAGGACCCCCUCCUGCCGUCCAGCUUCAGAAAAUGGUUCCAGGUGGUGAAGCCCCAUGACCCGCAGUGGAACCCGAGCCCCAGAGGCUGGCGGGGGUCAGCAGGGGGCCGAAGGUCAAAGAGAUGAUAGUACACAUGCUGGUUCUCGGGUGACUGGAAGCACCUGCCAAGGGCCGCACCGGGCUCCGUGGUGGGUCACCGUGAACAGCAGCGGGGUCUGCUCAGUGUCCGGCCAGGCCUCGCGCGGUUCCCCAGCUGCCCAAGAAACAGGACGCUCAUCCCUCCACUCGGCACUGAGGAAGCCACGGCUGGCCACCCUGCCUUGUGACUGGCCAGAAGGGCCUGUCAGCCGGGAGGCUGCCGGUGAGGGGCCGCGGACGGGCUGCAGAGGGACGUGGACCUUGCUGCUUCCAGAAGCAGAGUUGACCCCGGAGACGGUUGUGAGACUUUCCCCGGAGAUGGAGGAACGUCUGGCCGCGGAGCCCUGGGUGCCUCCUUGGUACCACCCUCCACCAUCCCCAGAGCCCUGGUCUGGGCCCGAGAGAAGCCCUGGCUGAAGGAGGACCCAGACCAGGAGGAAACUGCUGCCCAGGGGCCCAGUUACCCCUCCUCGCUGCUGAGACCCCUCCCCCAUAAUACUUUUUGGUUUUAGACAAGUUUCCAUAGCAACCCAAGUCCCUAUCAGCCAGAGGGUUACCAUGGCGACUGAACUUGGCUCUGAGUCCACAGCUGAGAAGGGCCCUGGGCCCUCACGCUUAUCUGUCAAGCAAGGCUCACAGGAAACCAAGUGAAGGGAGGUUGGAGGGCGGAGGCCGGGGCCGGCCUCAUCGGGUGGCGGCAACAGUGGUUCCCGCCCUCCCACCCCCGGCUCUUCCCCCGCCAGUCCUCCCAUUGAGGUGCCUUCGCCUUCAGACCAUCAGUGCUUUUCCCCCAGGCCCUGCUCCUCCCCUUCUAAGAAUCCUCCCUAAGCCCUUCCGGGCGGCUCCUGGGCAGCAGUUCCGGUCCAGCCAGGGCUGGUCCUCCCUGAGCGCCUGCCCGGCGUGUCACUCCCACUCUCCACACCCAGCUGCCCCUGUUAACGGGUCUUUUCUCUGGGACCUUCUCCCCAUGAGACUGGAGGCCUGUUUCCUGGCUUUGAACUCUGCACAGAGCUCAGCUGAGGAGGCAGAGCUGGGCAUGGGGGCAGGCGGUGGGCUCGAUGCUCCCAGCUGUAAACAGGAGGAGGGACCAUGGGGCACUCACACCUUCUGGGAGGCUGAGGUCCAGUCUGGAGAACCUGUUUCUCAGCCUCCCUCGCGUCCUCGCAGCAGAACCCGGAUCUGAUAAGCCUGUGCUUCCCCCGAACACCCCUCCCAACGCCCUCUCACUGGGCUCCUCUGUGCACCGAGGCCUGUCUGUGGACCCCCGGCGCACACACCAGCAGCACCAGGCUCAGAUCUUAAAAGCAACCCACCAGAUGCGCGGACACACUGUGCUCUGAAACACAUUCUCAAGACUUUAGUUGCAUUCUCAUAGAGCCUAC